UACGGAGGGGGCUAGCGUUGUUCGGAAUUACUGGGCGUAAAGGGCGCGUAGGCGGCCUUCUAAGUCGGACGUGAAAUCCCUCGGCUUAACCGAGGAACUGCGUCCGAGACUGAAAGGCUUGAAUCCGGGAGAGGGAUGUGGAAUUCCAGGUGUAGCGGUGAAAUGCGUAGAUAUCAGGAGGAACACCGGUGGCGAAGGCGGGUCUCUGGGCCGUAACUGACGCUGAGGAGCGAAAGCAUGGGGAGCGAACAGG
rnacentral:rRNA from 1 species